UACGGAGGGAGCUAGCGUUGUUCGGAAUUACUGGGCGUAAAGCGCGCGUAGGCGGCUUUGUAAGUUAGAGGUGAAAGCCCGGGGCUCAACCCCGGAAUAGCCUUUAAGACUGCAUCGCUUGAAUCCGGGAGAGGUGAGUGGAAUUCCGAGUGUAGAGGUGAAAUUCGUAGAUAUUCGGAAGAACACCAGUGGCGAAGGCGGCUCACUGGACCGGCAUUGACGCUGAGGUGCGAAAGCGUGGGGAGCGAACAGG
rnacentral:rRNA from 1 species